rnacentral:rRNA from 1 species
AGGACGAACGCUGGCGGCGUGCUUAACACAUGCAAGUCGAGCGGAAAGGCCCUUCGGGGUACUCGAGCGGCGAACGGGUGAGUAACACGUGAGCAACCUGCCCUUAGCUUCGGGAUAGCUCCGGGAAACCGGAAUUAAAUACCGAAUAUGACUUUGGCUGACAUCAGCAGAAGUGGAAAGUUUUUCGGCUAGGGAUGGACUCGCGGCCUAUCAGCUAGUUGGUGAGGUAACGGCCCACCAAGGCGACGACGGGUA